rnacentral:lncRNA from 1 species
UAAUUAGUAACAUUAAGAUCGGUAAAUGAUAUAAUAUAAAACAAAACUAGUAAAGAACAAAAAGGGCCAACAUGAAGAAAACCCAAAAUUGAAACCUGUCCUUUCUGUAUUUUCUCGAGAAAUUUCUCUCUCCGACUUACAGCUCAACGGCUUUAAUUUGAAAUUCUUCACACUCUUUCAAUUGUCUUUCAACGCGCACACUUCGUAUCCUUCGUUAUUAAUUGUUCACACACGCUCCCCCAACACCGAGCAGACUCUCUCUCUCUCUCUCUCUCUCUCUCUCUUCUGUCCGAAUUAGGGUUCUGUUGGGCUGUGAAACAUUAUAAUGCGCUUCUGAUUUCAAAUACUUUUCCAGGUAAUUUAAUCUUUUUUCCUUUCUUGCUUUCUGGAAUAUUCUAAGAUCUUAAUCUAGAUUUGUUUCCUCAUUUCGGCAUUUUAAAAAAUUUGCUUUUUUUUUUCUCUUACGGUUUAGGGUUCUCAAAAUCAUAUACGAUGCUGUUUUACUGCCACAUUUGUAAUUCGGCCAUUUUUCUUUUUCCUUUUUUUUUGUGAGUGUUGAAAAGGAAAAAAAGUGAUAUUUUCCUUUCUGGGUAUUGCUGGAUUUUGGCCCCAGAAAAAAAACUGUAAUUCCGUCUCUUUGCUUGUAUAUAUGUAUAGGUAUCUUCUACAUUACCAUCUUAUUGGCUUUCCGGGUGACGAAAAUGGGUAGCUUAACUUUCUUAUAAUUGAGUUAUGCUAUGUGGGUUUGUUGUGGUGAUUAAAUACUGAUGGCAGUGUCUAAUGAGAUGAUGAGGGAACUCUAUCUAUGCGAAAAUGCAUGGUGUAUUUUGUGUUUAAAGAUUUUUAUGCAAGUUUUAUUGUAUUACGUUGUUUUAUUAAUAUUACUGUCUCCCAAUAUUUGAGUUCUUGUGUUUAUCGAAUGAUAGAAAAGAGUUUACCCUGAUUUAUGGUUUUGAUUGAGAUGUGAUGGGUAUUUUUAUUUGAUUAUAGGUUGGCAAGUCAAAACUUGACCUUGGUGCCUGCAAGGAAGAAGUCAAGAAGAUUGACUAGGAAACAAGAUCUGUUGGUAAGAAUUCCUUCCCAACGAAAACUUUAAUACUGAUUAAUGUCAUAAACUUGUUGGUUCAUUUUUUUUUUAUUUAAAUUUUCAUUUGCCUGGGCAUGUUUGCUGUACUAUUAUUCAUGAAUUGGGAAUUGAUCUUUGAAUGAGUAUUGGAAUCAAAUAAUGACGAAAGUAUAUAAUGAACAGUUGAAUGUUCUUUGGCCAAAAUAAAUUCACUUUGGCAUGACUUAAGGCUGAAAGAAAAGAUUAUGUAAUGAAAAGAAGACAAUUUUUAUGAUGAUUAUGUAUACAUGUCAAACAAUGUCGUAAAAAGGAAAUAUGUCAUAGAAUGCAGAAAAUGUAGGAAACUACAUUGCCCCUCUUAUGAGUUUAUCUAUAUAUAUAGUUUCCUUAUAUAUAUAUAUAUAUAUACCCUAAGGACCGGAAAGAGUUAAAGCUUAGGGUGACUGGUAGAAUUUGGAAAGAACAGUGAUGGAUGGAAGUGCUUUUUGUCUUGCAGCUUCGUGCAAUCAUGUUUUGCCGUCAUAGCUGGUAGUUGAGUUUUAUCUUGUUGGUGGGUAGUCCAGUGAGUCCUCUGGUUCAUGUAUUUUUUUGUUAUGUAGAAAGCAAAUUCUCUUUGCAUGUCCUUGCACUGAAUGCAUGAGUGGGGAAGACGUGUUGUGCUCUUUAUGCCUACAAUUGUAAUAUCUAUCUAAAUAUAUUUCAAUUUAUUGCAUUGCUGCAGUGCCAUUAGUUUUCUCUUUGCCUAUGAUGCAUAUGAACGAAGUCAACAGGAAGUAAAGCUUUGUGUCAUUAGUUUAACCAUGAAGCACUUGAAAGAGUUUUGUGGAAAGUUUUUCAAAGAAACAAAUUUUCUUAUUAUCAAUUUGCAACUGAAUAAAAAAAUGACACAUUAAAUUCUCUCUUUUUAAUUAAAAAUUUUAUUAUCGAAAUAAUUUUUAAAAAUUACUUAAUUAAUUCUUUCUUUUUUUUUUUCUCAAUUUCAUAAAUUCUCAUAAAUUCAUUCAGAUAUCCUUUUUUAGCUACAAAUAAUCGAUAUCACUAAGUAUUUCAUGUUUGCUUUAUAUGAAAAAAAGGAAUUAUGAAUA